rnacentral:rRNA from 1 species
GGAGUUUGGACCGUGUCUCAGUUCCAAUGUGGGGGACCUUCCUCUCAGAACCCCUAGACAUCGUCGCCUUGGUGUGCCGUUACCACUCCAACUAGCUAAUGUCCCGCGAGCCCAUCCGCAUCCGAAAUUCUUUCAAACAAGGAUCAUGCGGUCCCUGUUGUUACGGAGUAUUACGCGACGUUUCCAUCGACUAUCCUCCACUACCGGGCAUGUUGCUCACGCGUUACUCACCCUUUCGCCGGUCGCCGUCAGAGUAUUGCUACUCCACGCUGCCCCUCGACUUGCAUGUGUUAAGCCUGCCGCUAGCGUUCAUC